rnacentral:rRNA from 1 species
CGCUGGCGGCGUGCUUAACACAUGCAAGUCGAACGGAAAGGCCCUGCUUUUGUGGGGUGCUCGAGUGGCGAACGGGUGAGUAACACGUGAGUAACCUGCCCUUGACUUUGGGAUAACUUCAGGAAACUGGGGCUAAUACCGGAUAGGAGCUCCUGCUGCAUGGUGGGGGUUGGAAAGUUUCGGCGGUUGGGGAUGGACUCGCGGCUUAUCAGCUUGUUGGUGGGGUAGUGGCUUACCAAGGCUUUGACGGGUAGCCGGCCUGAGAGGGUGACCGGCCACAUUGGGACUGAGAUACGGCCCAGACUCCUACGGGAGGCAGCAGUGGGGAAUAUUGCACAAUGGGCGGAAGCCUGAUGCAGCAACGCCGCGUGCGGGAUGACGGCCUUCGGGUUGUAAACCGCUUUCGCCUGUGACGAAGCGUGAGUGACGGUAAUGGGUAAAGAAGCACCGGCUAACUACGUGCCAGCAGCCGCGGUGAUACGUAGGGUGCGAGCGUUGUCCGGAUUUAUUGGGCGUAAAGGGCUCGUAGGUGGUUGAUCGCGUCGGAAGUGUAAUCUUGGGGCUUAACCCUGAGCGUGCUUUCGAUACGGGUUGACUUGAGGAAGGUAGGGGAGAAUGGAAUUCCUGGUGGAGCGGUGGAAUGCGCAGAUAUCAGGAGGAACACCAGUGGCGAAGGCCGUUCUCUGGGCCUUUCCUGACGCUGAGGAGCGAAAGCGUGGGGAGCGAACAGGCUUAGAUACCCUGGUAGUCCACGCUGUAAACGGUGGGUACUAGGUGUGGGGUCCAUUCCACGGGUUCCGUGCCGUAGCUAACGCUUUAAGUACCCCGCCUGGGGAGUACGGCCGCAAGGGCUAAAACUCAAAGGAAUUGACGGGGCCCCGCACAAGCGGCGGAGCAUGCGGAUUAAUUCGAUGCAACGCGUAGAACCUUACCUGGGUUUGACAUGGAUCGGGAGCGCUCAGAGAUGGGUGUGCCUCUUUUGGGGUCGGUUCACAGGUGGUGCAUGGCUGUCGUCAGCUCGUGUCGUGAGAUGUUGGGUUAAGUCCCGCAACGAGCGCAACCCUUGUUCACUGUUGCCAGCACGUUAUGGUGGGGACUCAGUGGAGACCGCCGGGGUCAACUCGGAGGAAGGUGGGGAUGACGUCAAGUCAUCAUGCCCCUUAUGUCCAGGGCUUCACGCAUGCUACAAUGGCUGGUACAGAGAGUGGCGAGCCUGUGAGGGUGAGCGAAUCUCGGAAAGCCGGUCUCAGUUCGGAUUGGGGUCUGCAACUCGACCUCAUGAAGUCGGAGUCGCUAGUAAUCGCAGAUCAGCAACGCUGCGGUGAAUACGUUCCCGGGGCUUGUACACACCGCCCGUCAAGUCAUGAAAGUUGGUAACACCCGAAGCCGGUGGCCUAACCGUUGUGGGGGAGCCGUCGAAGGUGGGACUGGUGAUUAGG